AACGAACGCUGGCGGCAGGCUUAACACAUGCAAGUCGAACGCCCCGCAAGGGGAGUGGCAGACGGGUGAGUAACGCGUGGGAAUCUACCCAGUUCUACGGAAUAACCCAGGGAAACUUGGACUAAUACCGUAUACGCCCUACGGGGGAAAGAUUUAUCGGAAUUGGAUGAGCCCGCGUUGGAUUAGCUAGUUGGUGGGGUAAUGGCCUACCAAGGCGACGAUCCAUAGCUGGUCUGAGAGGAUGGUCAGCCACACUGGGACUGGGACACGGCCCAGACUCCUACGGGAGGCAGCAGUGGGGAAUAUUGGACAAUGGGCGCAAGCCUGAUCCAGCCAUGCCGCGUGAGUGAUGAAGGCCUUAGGGUUGUAAAGCUCUUUCAGUGGGGAAGAUAAUGACGGUACCCACAGAAGAAGCCCCGGCUAACUUCGUGCCAGCCGCCGCGGUAAGAC
rnacentral:rRNA from 1 species